UGUAUAGCACAGGGAACUCCACUUCACUGUACAGUAGAAACUAACACAACAUUGUAAAAUAACUAUACCCCAGUAGGAAAAAAAAAGAACACCAGAUUGGAUUAGGGCCCACCCUAAUGGCCUUUUUAUUUAACUACCUCUCUUAAGGCCCUAUCUCUAAAUACAGUCAUAUUCUGAGGUAAGAGGGGAUCAGGGCUUCAACACAUGCAUUUGGUGGUGGUGACAGGGGUGGGGUAGCGGGGGAGACACAAUUGAAUCUGCAACAGCUGUGUAUGUGAAGUCCUUGGUGUUUUACGUAGCAUUUCUAUGUUUAGUUUCCUAUGUUGAUAGAAGUCCUCUAUACUCACUUAAAAGUAUUUCAAACAUUAUUUGAAAAAGUAUUCAGGACCUCAUUCCCCAAAACUAUGACUAACAGCCCACAGUAAAAUUCCAAGGUUAAUUUUUUUUUUCUCCUGGGAUACAAGAGGUUAUUUACUAUAAGACUUCAUUCAGAUGGCACUGUUUCUGGGAAUGGAAAUUUAUUUACAGAUAUCAGAUUUAAGUAAAUACUAAUUUUGACAUUUUUGCUGCUGAAAGCAGCAUAAGCAAAGGAAAAGACAGCUUUUGGAGUCAGAUCUGUGUUUGAAAUGUUGCCGUACCGUUUUCACUGUUUACUACUGUGUUUCUUUGAACAAAUUAACAUUUCUGAAUAUCGAAGGUGGAUAAUUCUAUUGUCUGUGGAUUGUCCAAAGGAUUAAAUGAGCAUGCCAUCUAAAGCAAUAGUUCUAAAAUUUGAUAGGGUGCCUUAAAGAAUCCCGAGAAGUACAUUUUAAAAAAUACAGUUUUUAGGUCUCGUCGGCAGAGUAUUCCGUGGAUUUACGGUGGCGUUUAGGAAUGUAUAAUCUUGAACUUCCUUAGGCGAUUCUGAAUGUAGCCAAAUUAAAAAAUUAUAGAUUGCUCUCACUCUGGUCCUACACAGUCCUGCUAAUUGAUUU